rnacentral:tRNA from 1 species
GCCCUGGUAGCUCAGUGGCAGAGCGCCUGUCUUGUAAGUAAACUUCUUUAAAGAAGUUUAAUCAAGAACAAGAAAACAGGAGGUCGAGGGUUCAACUCCCUCUCAGGGCU